AAGUGCAUCGGAAGCGAUUCCGGUGAAGAGGGAAUUGGGUGAGAGUCCCAAACGAUCCGGUCACUGUAUUUAGGGAGCGAUACUUCAAAAGCCCAUUGUACGAGAAAGUAUGAGAAGGGGAAGUAAAGCGAUGAUCUAUGAGUCAGGAAACCUGCUUAUUGU
rnacentral:ncRNA from 1 species